UCCCUAAUGGCUCAGUUAGUAAAGCAUCUGCCUGCAAUGCAGGAAACUCGGGUUAAAUCCCUGGGUUAGGAA
rnacentral:tRNA from 1 species